rnacentral:rRNA from 1 species
UGGGGAAUAUUGGACAAUGGGCGCAAGCCUGAUCCAGCCAUGCCGCGUGAGUGAUGAAGGCCCUAGGGUUGUAAAGCUCUUUCACCGGUGAAGAUAAUGACGGUAACCGGAGAAGAAGCCCCGGCUAACUUCGUGCCAGCAGCCGCGGUAAUACGAAGGGGGCUAGCGUUGUUCGGAUUUACUGGGCGUAAAGCGCACGUAGGCGAACUUUUAAGUCAGGGGUGAAAUCCCGGGGCUAAACCCCGGAACUGCCUUUGAUACUGGAAGUCUUGAGUAUGGUAGAGGUGAGUGGAAUUCCGAGUGUAGAGGUGAAAUUCGUAGAUAUGCGGAGGAACACCAGUGGCGAAGGCGGCUCACUGGACCAUUACUGACGCUGAGGUGCGAAAGCGUGGGGAGCAAACAGG